UACGAAGGGUGCAAGCGUUGCUCGGAAUUAUUGGGCGUAAAGGGUUGGUAGGUGGUCUUGUUUGUCUAAGGUGAAAUCCCAGGGCUUAACCCUGGAAGUGCCUUAGAAACGGCAAGACUAGAGUCCUAGAGGGGUUUGUGGAAUUCCCGGUGUAGCGGUGAAAUGCGUAGAUAUCGAGAGGAACACCUGCGGCGAAGGCGGGUUGCUGGGCUGACACUGACGCUGAUGCGCGAAAGCUAGGGGAGCGAACGGG
rnacentral:rRNA from 1 species